GCAAGGUUAACGGCAUGCUUACCAUGCAAGUCGAACGAUGAUGCCCAGCUUGCUGGGCGGAUUAGUGGCGAACGGGUGAGUAAUACGUGAGUAACCUGCCCUUGACUCUGGGAUAAGCCUGGGAAACUGGGUCUAAUACUGGAUACUACCUCUUGCCGCAUGGUGGGUGGUGGAAAGGGUUUUACUGGUUUUGGAUGGGCUCACGGCCUAUCAGCUUGUUGGUGGGGUAAUGGCUCACCAAGGCGACGACGGGUAGCCGGCCUGAGAGGGUGACCGGCCACACUGGGACUGAGACACGGCCCAGACUCCUACGGGAGGCAGCAGUGGGGAAUAUUGCACAAUGGGCGGAAGCCUGAUGCAGCGACGCCGCGUGAGGGAUGACGGCCUUCGGGUUGUAAACCUCUUUCAGUAGGGAAGAAGCGAGAGUGACGGUACCUGCAGAAGAAGCGCCGGCUAACUACGUGCCAGCAGCCGCGGUAAUACGUAGGGCGCAAGCGUUGUCCGGAAUUAUUGGGCGUAAAGAGCUCGUAGGCGGUUUGUCGCGUCUGCUGUGAAAGCCCGGGGCUCAACCCCGGGUCUGCAGUGGGUACGGGCAGACUAGAGUGCAGUAGGGGAGACUGGAAUUCCUGGUGUAGCGGUGAAAUGCGCAGAUAUCAGGAGGAACACCGAUGGCGAAGGCAGGUCUCUGGGCUGUUACUGACGCUGAGGAGCGAAAGCAUGGGGAGCGAACAGGAUUAGAUACCCUGGUAGUCCAUGCCGUAAACGUUGGGCACUAGGUGUGGGGGACAUUCCACGUUUUCCGCGCCGUAGCUAACGCAUUAAGUGCCCCGCCUGGGGAGUACGGCCGCAAGGCUAAAACUCAAAGGAAUUGACGGGGGCCCGCACAAGCGGCGGAGCAUGCGGAUUAAUUCGAUGCAACGCGAAGAACCUUACCAAGGCUUGACAUUCACCGGACCGCCCCAGAGAUGGGGUUUCCCUUCGGGGCUGGUGGACAGGUGGUGCAUGGUUGUCGUCAGCUCGUGUCGUGAGAUGUUGGGUUAAGUCCCGCAACGAGCGCAACCCUCGUUCUAUGUUGCCAGCACGUGAUGGUGGGGACUCAUAGGAGACUGCCGGGGUCAACUCGGAGGAAGGUGGGGAUGACGUCAAAUCAUCAUGCCCCUUAUGUCUUGGGCUUCACGCAUGCUACAAUGGCCGGUACAAAGGGUUGCGAUACUGUGAGGUGGAGCUAAUCCCAAAAAGCCGGUCUCAGUUCGGAUUGAGGUCUGCAACUCGACCUCAUGAAGUCGGAGUCGCUAGUAAUCGCAGAUCAGCAACGCUGCGGUGAAUACGUUCCCGGGCCUUGUACACACCGCCCGUCAAGUCACGAAAGUUGGUAACACCCGAAGCCGGUGGCCUAACCCCUUGUGGGAGGGAGCCGUCUAAGAGUGGAUCGGGCUAAUG
rnacentral:rRNA from 2 species